GGCUAACGCUGGCGGCGCGCCUAACACAUGCAAGUCGAACGAACCCUUCGGGGUUAUUGGCAGACGGGGGAGUAACGCGUGGAUAAUGUGCCUUUUUGCUGGGGAUACCGUUCCGAAAGGAACGCUAAUACCGAAUGUGCUCGUUUGGCGGCAUCCCCUAGCGCGGCAACUGUUAGUGUGAAGAGAGCAGUCCGCGAUCUAUCAUCUAGUUGGUGGGGUCACGGCAAACCAAGGCUACGACAGAUAACUGGUCUGAGAGGAUGAUCAGUCACACUGGAACUGAGACACCGUCCAGACUCCUACGGGAGGCAGCAGUGAGGAAUCUUGCACAAUGGGCGAAAGCCUGAUGCAGCGACGCAGCGUGAGGGACGAAGGCCUGCGGGUUGUAAACCUCUGUCAGUAGGGGAGAAGAAUGACGGUACCUACUGAGGAAGCGUCGGCUAACUACGUG
rnacentral:rRNA from 1 species